AUCUAUCUAGCUCAGUUGGUGGAGCACAAGGUUUUGAACCAUGAGGUUGGGGGUUCGAUCCCUACAACUCACA
rnacentral:tRNA from 7 species